rnacentral:rRNA from 1 species
CGUGCUUAGGAUGUUGGCCUAAUGGCUUUAAGCGACCCGUCUUGAAACACGGACCAAGGAGUCUAACAUGCUUGCGAGUGUUCGGGUGGAAAACCCUUGCGCGUAAUGAAAGUGAAAGUUAGGAACCUUCUCGCAAGGGAGGGUGCACUGACGCCCGGCCCUGACGUUCUCUGACGGUGCUGCGGUAGAGCAAGUGCGUUGGGACCCGAAAGAUGGUGAACUAUGCCUGAAUAGGGCGAAGCCAGAGGAAACUCUGGUGGAGGCUCGUAGCGAUUCUGACGUGCAAAUCGAUCGUCAAAUUUGGGUAUAGGGG